rnacentral:rRNA from 1 species
UACGUAGGGGCCAAGCGUUAUCCGGAUUUACUGGGCGUAAAGCGCAUGUAGGUGGUUGAUUAAGUCGGACGUGAAAGCUCCUGGCUCAACUGGGAGAGGUCGUUCGAAACUAAUCGGCUAGAGGGUGGUAGAGGAGAGCGGAAUUCCAGGUGUAGCGGUGAAAUGCGUAGAUAUCUGGAGGAACACCAGUGGCGAAAGCGGCUCUCUGGCCCAUUCCUGACACUGAGAUGCGAAAGCCAGGGGAGAGAACGGG